rnacentral:rRNA from 1 species
UACGAAGGGUGCAAACGUUGCUCGGAAUCAUUGGGCGUAAAGCGCACGUCGGCGGCUUUGCAAGUCGGACGUGAAAUCCCUCAGCUCAACUGAGGACGUGCAUCCGAAACUGCAAGGCUUGAGUACUGAAGAGGAUCGCGGAAUUCCCGGUGUAGAGGUGAAAUUCGUAGAUAUCGGGAGGAACACCAGUGGCGAAGGCGGCGAUCUGGGCAGAUACUGACGCUGAGGUGCGAAAGCGUGGGGAGCAAACAGG